rnacentral:rRNA from 1 species
CACGUAGGCGGUCUUUUAAGUCAGAGGUGAAAGCCCGGGGCUCAACUCCGGAAUUGCCUUUGAAACUGGAAGACUUGAACACGGGAGAGGUGAGUGGAAUUCCGAGUGUAGAGGUGAAAUUCGUAGAUAUUCGGAGGAACACCAGUGGCGAAGGCGGCUCACUGGCUCGAUACUGACGCUGAGGUGCGAAAGCGUGGGGAGCAAACAGGAUUAGAUACCCCAGUA